rnacentral:tRNA from 4 species
GGAGACGUAUCGAAGUGGUCAUAACGGGGCGCACUCGAAAUGCGUUAGCCCUUUUCGGGCACGUGGGUUCAAAUCCCACCGUCUCCG